rnacentral:rRNA from 1 species
AACGAACGCUGGCGGCGUGGCUAAGACAUGCAAGUCGAACGAACCAUUAAUUUAUUGAUGGUUAGUGGCGUAAGGGUUAGUAACGGGUAGGCAACGUACCCUGUGCUUCGGGAUAACGCCAUUCGCCUUCGGGCGAAUUUCCGAAAGGGGCGGUAAUACCGGAUAAUAUCAGUAGUCGAUAGGCUUCUGAUCAAAGAUUUAUCGGCAUAGGAGCGGCCUGCCUCCUAUCAGCUUGUUGGUGAGGUAAUGGCUCACCAAGGCAGCGACGGGUAGCGGGACUGAGAGGUUGACCCGCAACAUCGGGACUGAGACACUGCCCGGACCUCCACGGAGGGCUGCAGUAACGAAUAUUGCGCAAUGGGCGAAAGUCUGACGCAGCGACGCCGCGUGCGGGAGGAAGUCCUUCGGGAUGUAAACCGCUGUCAGGGGAAAGAAAGUGCGCUCCGGCGUAUUGAUCUACCCCAGAGGAAGUCACGGCUAACUUCGUGCCAGCAGCCGCGGUAAGACGAAGGUGGCAAGCGUUGUUCGGUAUCACUGGGCUUAAAGCGUGUGUAGGCGGAAAAGUAAGCGUUCUGUGAAAGCCCCCGGCUUAACCGGGGAAUUGCGCAACGAACUGCUUUUCUUGAGGCAAGUAGGGGUGCAUGGAACUCUUGGUGGAGCGGUGGAAUGCGUAGACAUCAAGAGGAACGCCAGUGGAGAAAUCGGUGCACUGGGCUUGUCCUGACGCUGAGACACGAAAGCGUGGGGAGCGAACGGGAUUAGAUACCCCGGUAGUCCACGCCGUAAACGAUGCCUACUAGGUUGUGGUGGUUCUGACACCAGCACAGCCGAAGCAAAAGUGCUAAGUAGGCCGCCUGGGGAGUACGGUCGCAGGGCUA